AAAUCGUCGCCCAAACGACCACAACAUGAAGAAAAGUCCUGCGAAUUCGGGUUGUUGGUGAAUUUGUUAUUUCACGAGUGUGGAAAGCACUCUUGUCCGCCCGCCCAUCAAUUCCAAGUAGAUAUAUUUCAAAAAGAUCUUGAAGGCUAUUUGUAGCUAAUGUGAUAUUUUUGCAUGUCUGUCUGUGAAUUUUCAGCACUUAGUUUGACUCCUUGGGAUUUUAAUUAUAUUAAUUUGAACCUCUUUUAUAUACAUUUCUGAAUACGUUUUAGUUUAAUAAUCUAUAGGCUAGUGUUUUUCCAUACAUGUCUGCAUGUGCACCAUAUGCCUGGAUUUCCCUGUGUUUUCAUUACUUGCAUGACUUGUUAUUAGAGCAUAUACUUUAACACAGGGAGCAGUACAGGUCAGUCUCCUCUAUUCCCUUUCUCUCCUUUUUAUUGAGACUCUCCUUUUAUUUAUUUUAUCUUUCUGUCUCUUUUUUAAUGUUUCUUCUCUCCCCUCUGACCAGUGUGUGUAUGCAGACGGAGUGUUCUCCAUCUAGAGGAGAGCCCCCUGGACUUCUCUAGCCAUUAAGGCCUCUGUCUGUUUCAUUAUGCAUCACCCCUUUGUCCUUCUCCUUCCUGCUCUCUGUAGCUGUGAUGUGCUGGCCCUCUCUAGGCUGUGCUCUAUUAAUACACGUAGUGGUGUGUGUGUGUGUGUGUGUGUGUGUGUGUGUGUGUGUGUGUGUGUGUGUGUGUGUGUGUGUGUGUGUGUGUGUGUGUGUGUGUGUGUGUGUGUGUGUGUGUGCGUGCGUGCGUGCGUGCGUGCGUGCGUGCGUGCGUGCGUGCGUGCGUGCGUGCGUGCGUGUCUGUGUGUGCGUGUGUGUGUGUCACAGCAUACCUCUGCUCACUGUCUCCUCUCAGACCCCAUCUGUGCUUCCCACUCGUUCCCAACGUUCAGGACCACAGGACGGGCUCCUGGGAUCAAGUGGAUCAGAUCAUCGGAAAAUAACACAUGCUGAUGCCACAGUGUGUUUUAGUGUGUUUCAUUCAUUUCAGUUUUGUCAGUGAUGUGUACUCCGAGGAACUUAAAGCUUUCCACCUCGUACACUGCGGCCCCGAAGCUGGUUGAGAGAAUGCCAAGAGUGUGCAAAGCUGUCAUCAAGGCAAAGGGUGGCUACUUUGAAGAAUCUUUAGCACUUUUUGGUUACUACAUCAUUCAAUGUGUGUUAUUUCAUAGUUUUGAUGUCUUCACUAUUAUUCUACAAUGUAGAAAAUAGUAAACAUAAAUAAAAACCCUUGAAUGAGUAGGUGUGUCCAAACUUUUGACUGGUACUGUAUGUGAUGUAUAGACAUCAUGGACAGUAUCUGGAUAGAAUAUAUAUUAUAUAUCUGUAGAAUAUGUGGAUAGAUUAGUAUUUGCAAGGAAUGAAAGGAAGAUUUUCAAUUGUUGUUUUUAAUUAUUACAAUCUUCAAACAGAGUAAAAUCAUCAUUUUUGGAGAGAAUAUUCUGCCUUCUUUCAUGUUCUAAGAUUUAAACUGUUUUAAUAAGUUUAACUCCAGCAACCAAAAGCAGGAAACCCAUAAAAAUAAACAUUUAUGUAAUUUCUGUACAAAGAAUGUCUGUUGUUUCCACCCAUAAUUAAGUAUUAUAGAAGUGGUUAAAGUACCUAAAGACUGUACUUUUUUUAGCCCAGUGACAGUACAGGGUUGUAGCAAAACAAUUCGCAGCGGAAAACGAAAACAAAAGUUUCUUAUUGAACAUGUUCUGGUGGUCCCUCUACAUUUUUUACAACCCUGGAUUGAUUGAACUGAAGUUAGACAUGUGACACUGAACAGAAGCACUAGAGGGAAUUCUCUCCUCACAUUCAAAUUCUGAUGCAAAGGGUGAGAAGAGAUAUGAGCUGAGUUUGAUUAACAUUGAGAAAAAUCGACAUCUGAAAGGUGAAUAACAUGAACACAACAUGAUGUAACUUUGAUAUGCUUUUUUAACAGGCCUGUAGUAAUGUGAAUGCAAUAAAGUUCAUUUACAGUUGGAUAUGUUAUUGUUGUUCUCUAACAAUGCAAUCCAUCUAAACUCUCCACUCACCAUAUUGUAUGUCUAACACAAUAAACCAUUGAGAUUCUAAUAGCAUAUAUAUAGCAUUUGAUUCAAUUAAGAAUUCUAAAUUAGACUGCAGUAAUACAUGAAGGUUUGGUUGACUGUGAGGGACUGUGAUGUCAGAUGUACCCUAUUUCCUGUUCUUUAUAAGUAGAUGUCAGACAGAGACAGACUGCAGUACACAGCCAGCUGUGGUAAUGGUGAUGUCACUGUUGAGGAGUUUUCUGUUGUUCUACUUCUCAUUCAACAAAUUGACCACAGCAGCAGAAGCCAUUCUCUGGGUGAAGACGGGGGAGAAGUUUACCAUGAAGUGCUCCACCACUCUAAAAGACCAGGAUGGAAUGUACCUGUAUGUUGGGCUGGACAGGGACAGGGAGGUGCUGUAUUACUACCAGCGUGACUCCAAACUGACCCCCAGGAGACGUUACUGGGACAGAGUGAAGACUGAGGGACCUGUGGACCAACUGACCAUCACCGUCAGUAACCUGACCAUAGAGGACACAGGUGUCUACUGGUGUGUUUACACAAAAUUCAAUAAAUCCACGUAUGAAAAUGACAUCAACCAAGGAAGAGGCUCCACUCUGGUCGUGGUGAAUGGUAGAGACGAUGCCCUCCAGCUGCCAUGCCCCACAGCUAUUGCAGUAACACUGACCCCCUUUCACCCAGCCAACGAGAAGCUGUGCGCAUCUGGCGUGGAAAACAUCAUCAUCAUCACCAGCAUCUUGACCACCCUGAUGUGUGCCGUCAUCUUCCUCGCCUGGGUCGCUCCACGGGUGAAGAGGUGCUGUAACCAGGGAGGAUACACACCCCAGGUCUUUCCUGACUCGGUCUAUGAAGACAUGGCCAGGAAUCCCAUUUAUCCACCAGACACACAGCAGGUACAAUCGUACCCCUAUUCUGUGUCUACCAAAGGAGGAAGUAGGACCACUGUGUAGCUUCUUCGAAUGCUUUCUCUGAAUAUUGCUUCUUUGCUUUCUCAGAAUUGAAAAACCUGUUCUGCUAUAUUUCACAGUUCUAGCCUCAAUGCAAGUCUUAGUGGUACAUGUUUUGUGUGUGUGCGUGUGUGUGUGUGUGUGUGUGUGUGCGUGCGUAUGUGUGUUGCGCCAUACCAUGCUUAUGUGUGUGAAUAAAAUCUCUAUAUGGACAGUAUUCAUAUUUCAACAGAAGAGUGAACAGCCAAUGUUAUAUUCCAGUUCUUCCACAUGCAAUGCACACACACCAAUAAAGCACUUUUCUUCUAAUGAAAUGCUGCUAAAAGUAGUUAUGGAAGAAGUGGAAAGUACUCGAUCAACGUGAGUUGAGGUGCAACCAAAAAAUGUGGUCAUCAUUGAAAAGGCUCAAUGCUUGCUCAUCAUUUUAACUAUUAAAAGAUUCUGUUAAGUCAUUAGGUGAUUUGAAAAUCAUCUGAAAAUGAAACAUCCCAAUAAAUAAGAGACAGCAACCAUAGUGCUUUACAUUUUGCCCCUGAACGUUGGAUUUUGGUGCAGAUCUUUUGUGAAUGUUCAGAAUUGAUCAAAGGGCCAGUCUAAAUUGCUAAACGGGACGGAUCUGGCACGUGGGCCGCCAGUUGAAUAUCCCUGUUUUAGUCCAUAAGGUGUACAGUUGAUAGCGAUGGAGGCCUCCCUAUAACUUUUUUCAAUACAUCAGGUCAUACGAUUUAUAUUGGUUUUAGUUCUAAACAAUGCUGUAGGCUGUGUUUUUCUCUAGUGUUUUUAGGUCACUGGACCACUCAUCAAGCUGUUCCUGUGCAUGUUGUCUUCCACAAAGCCAAAAGAACUUCAACGUUAAAAUGAGAACAGUUUGUUAAGACUUUUAUUAUAUUUUAUCAUAGGUACAAAUAUUUUAGCUCCUUAAACUUUCAGGCACAUCAGGAUAUAAGCCAUUUUACAUUACAUUUGAUUAUUCUAUGGUUUUAGUUGAGAUAGCUAGUAGGUUAAACCAUAAUGGUCUGAGUACAUUGUUUUCAUGCUGAUACAGAGUAAUGAGUGUGUCUUAUGGAUGGAAAAACAAUGAUUCAUUUUUACUAAGUGACGUAGUAUUUGUCUUACACUAGGAGUCCCUGUUUUUUUACUUAUGUUUCAACUUCCUAACAGCUAUUUUCACUUUAAAUAGCUGUAAAUGUGUAUUGUAUCUUUAUAAAGGAAGACAAAUAUUCUCACCGUUUGCCUUUUAAUCAAAAUUAUUGAUACAUAAUUGAUAGUUAUGUGAUAUUCAACUUGUGUAUUCAUGUUUAUGUUGUAUUUGUAUGUAUAAAGCAUUGGUGAUGUUCAGCUAUAUUGCUUACAGUAUUUUGUAUGUUUAGAAAGCUUUCUAAAUGAAGUCAGACAGGAAACUAGAGUGUUUGUAUCAGCUGAUAUUGAACCAAUUAGAUUCCCUCUACCGUAAUAUGGCAGUCUAUUUAGUUAACCAGGUAAUGCACAUCCUUUCAUUAUGUCUGCUGCACGCAAGCUAUCCAUUGGUGUUCUUGGUGACAUGCUAUGAUGUAACAUGCGGUACUCGCCCUGCAUGUCUGCUUUCCCACCACCCACCCCAGACUCCACCUGUUUGGGCACUGCUUUUGUUUCAGUCAGGGGGAUUGGUAUAGCAUACCUGGCUCACUGUUUGUUAUUAUGUUAUCAUUAUGCAUGCUCUGGCAGUGAGCUACCCCGAAGGAGCAGAGCCUUACGCCAAGAGUAACAUAUUGAAUGUAUUGUAAUCCUUUCUAAUAAAUGGUUAAACAAAUAUGUGACGUUUCAGUAACUUUUA
rnacentral:lncRNA from 1 species